UGUAAAACAUGGGUCGGUGAUGCCAGGC
rnacentral:piRNA from 1 species